GACGAACGCUGGCGGCGCGCUUAACACAUGCAAGUCGAACGGGGCCCUUCGGGGUUCAGUGGCGAACGGGUGCGUAACACGUGAGUGACCUGCCCUUGUGCGGGGGAUAACCCGGGGAAACCCGGGCUAAUACCGCAUGCACUCCACUGGCUUCAUGGCCGGGGGAGGAAAGAUGCUGUAAGGCAUCGCGCAGGGAGGGGCUCGCGGCGUAUCAGGUAGUUGGUGAGGUAACGGCUCACCAAGCCUAUGACGCGUAGGGGGUCUGAGAGGAUCGGCCCCCCACA
rnacentral:rRNA from 1 species